rnacentral:rRNA from 1 species
CCCUUAGAUGUUCUGGGCCGCACGCGCGCUACACUGACUACUUCAACGAGUUGUUUCCUUGAUCGAAAGGUCUGGGUAUUCUUUGAAAGGUAGUCGUGAUGGGGAUAGAUCCUUGCAAUUUUUGAUCUUCAACGAGGAAUUCCUAGUAAACGCAAGUCAUCAGCUUGCAUUGAUUACGUCCCUGCCCUUUGUACACACCGCCCGUCGCACCUACCGAUUGAAUGGUCCGGUGAAUCUUUAGGACUGUGGCUGAGGCCUUGCCUUGUGCGGGUCUGGCCGUGGGAAUUUAGUUAAACCUUACCAUUUAGAGGAAGGUGAAGUCGUAACA